CUACGUGGCGCUGCAGUGAGGAAUAUUGCACAAUGGGGGGAACCCUGAUGCAGCAACGCCGCGUGGAGGAUGACGCAUUUCGGUGUGUAAACUCCUUUUAUAUGUCAAGAAAAUGACGGUAGCAUAUGAAUAAGCACCGGCUAACUCCGUGCCAGCAGCCGCGGUAAUACGGAGGGUGCAAGCGUUACUCGGAAUCACUGGGCGUAAAGGACGCGUAGGCGGGUUGGAAAGUCAGGUGUGAAAUCCUACAGCUUAACUGUAGAACUGCACUUGAAACUUCUAAUCUAGAGUAUGGGAGGGGGAGAUGGAAUUAGUGGUGUAGGGGUAAAAUCCGUAGAUAUCACUAGGAAUACCUAAAGCGAAGGCGAUCUCCUGGAACAUUACUGACGCUAAGGCGUGAAAGCGUGGGGAGCAAACAGGAUUAGAUACCCCAGAGUC
rnacentral:rRNA from 1 species